CAGGAUAGGUGGGACCCUUUGAAGCGGAGGCUUUGGCUUCCGUGGAGGGGCCGUUGAGAUACCACCCUUGUGUUCCGAUGUCGCUAACCUACGGUGUUACAAGCACUCUCGUUUGAUGAAAGAGAGUCGAGUGUUUGUACCACCGUAGGGACAUUGCUUGCUGGGCAGUUUAACCGGGGCGGUUGCCUCCUAAAAAGUAACGGAGGCGCGCGAUGGUAACCUAGCGCCGGAUGGAAAUCGGCGUAGUCGUGUAAUCGCACAAGGUGCCUAACUGUGAGACGAACAUGUCGAUCAGAAGCGAAAGCUGGUGAUAGUGAUCCGGCAGCCGGACAUAUUUAUAUGUCCUGACCACGUGGGUGGGCUG
rnacentral:rRNA from 1 species